AACGAACGCUGGCGGCAGGGUUUAGGCAUGCAAGUCGCACGGGAAAGCCGCAAGGUGAGUACAGUGGCGUAAGGGUGAGUAAUAGAUAGCUGACCUACCCAUCGGACGCGGAUAAUUCCUCGAAAGGGGUUGUAAUACGCGAUGAGACCACGGGCCUUACGGGGUUUGUGGUCAAAGGCUGGGGAUCCUUCGGGACCUAGCGGCCGAUGGCGGGGGCGAUCUCUGAUUAGCUAGUUGGCGGGGUAACGGCCCACCAAGGCGAUGAUCAGUAGCCGGGCUGAGAGGCUGUCCGGCCACACGGGCACUGAGACACUGGCCCGACUCCUACGGGAGGCUGCAGUCGCGAAUUUUUCUCAAUGGGCGCAAGCCUGAAGAAGCCAUGCCGCGUGCGGGACGAAGGCCCUCUGGGGUUGUAAACCGCUGUCAGGGAAGGGGAAACGCUGGGUGUUAACAGCAUCCAGUUUGACUGCUCUCCAAAGGAAGCCCCCGGGCAAAAACAUGUGCCAGCAGCCGCGGUAU
rnacentral:rRNA from 1 species